CACCACACCAUUCGAUACCGAGGAGCUAAUGUUCUCUGCUCUAUUUGCUAAGGGAGAGUGAAAGAAACAAGUGAGAUUUAUCAGCAAAACUGGAGAGUUCAUGGAUCACUUGCCAGAAAAACGUUGUGCAGCUUUAACACGUAUAUGUCCAGUAAUUUAAAAUGGAUCGCAGCGGUGGUUCUAAAGAAGCGUUCUGGUGGAGCCAGUUGACUAAGAUCUGUUUAGUUGUGAAAGAUAACUGCGACAUGUGAUAGGAAGCAACUGUAGAAUGGCCCAGGUGAGAGGCUGUCAUACAAAGCCAUCAAAUCACAAUAACGGUCAUUUAUGCCAAGGCUGUGUUUGGGAGCCAGUGAACCAUAGAUGUAAUUGGUUUGUCGGAGCUAUAACGUAAUAUGGGUGGCAUUCAGGUUACUCAAGAUAAACAUGAAGCCAUGAUGUAGCAACAGUUGUCUUAGCGAUUACAUACAGUUCAGAAUUUAGUGCAAUUCUUAGAUGUUGAAAGGGGGAUUGUGGUGGAGUAGCAGCCACAGUUAAAGCUUGCAAUGAGUAGAUUUCAGUAAAAAGUGUUUAUUAUUGGAUGUGCUUCUGUAUUACAUUCUGCACAAAAAAACCUCCUUUCAGUGCUUGGAAUCAAUAAUGUACUUCAUUUAUUCGCAUAAAUGCAGUGCUUUUGCAUUUAAAAAAAGGUAUUGUCUACAUUGGGCUCUGAAGAUAAGUGCUGCAGAAACUAUGGUGGGUUGCAAUUUAGAUGCAAAAGAAACACAACUUACUUUCAGAUGCUUCCUUUCUAUAAGGCUUUGUGGGGAAAUGUAUGGCCUCAUUUAGGAAACAGUGCUUGGGAGGAAACUCUUCAGUUAUUUAUUAUUUUAAAAAUGGUGAGCCACUAAGCAGCAAGGAAAUUACUAUGCUUCUACUAGAUGGUCUGUUCCCAAAUAAGGAUU